rnacentral:rRNA from 1 species
GACAGAGGGUGCAAACGUUGUUCGGAAUUACUGGGCGUAAAGCGCGUGUAGGCGGCCAAGUAUGUCGGAUGUGAAAUCCCGCGGCUCAACCGUGGAAGUGCAUUCGAAACUGCUUGGCUGGAGUUUCGGAGAGGAAGGCGGAAUGCUUGGUGUAGAGGUGAAAUUCGUAGAUAUCAAGCAGAACACCUGUGGCGAAGGCGGCCUUCUGGACGAUGACUGACGCUGAGACGCGAAAGCGUGGGGAGCAAACAGGAUUAGAUACCCUGGUAGUCCACGCCGUAAACGAUGAGUGCUAGGUGUCAGGGGCUUUGACCCUCCUGGUGCCGCAGCUAACGCAAUAAGCACUCCGCCUGGGGAGUACGGCCGCAAGGCUAAA